rnacentral:rRNA from 1 species
GAUGAACGCUGGCGGCGUGCCUAAUACAUGCAAGUCGAGCGAACGGACGAGAAGCUUGCUUCUCUGAUGUUAGCGGCGGACGGGUGAGUAACACGUGGAUAACCUACCUAUAAGACUGGGAUAACUUCGGGAAACCGGAGCUAAUACCGGAUAAUAUUUUGAACCGCAUGGUUCAAAAGUGAAAGACGGUCUUGCUGUCACUUAUAGAUGGAUCCGCGCUGCAUUAGCUAGUUGGUAAGGUAACGGCUUACCAAGGCAACGAUGCAUAGCCGACCUGAGAGGGUGAUCGGCCACACUAGAACUGAGACGCGGCCCAGACUCCUACGGGAGGCAGCAGUAGGGAAUCUUCCGCAAUGGGCGAAAGCCUGACGGAGCAACGCCGCGUGAGUGAUGAAGGUCUUCGGAUCGUAAAACUCUGUUAUUAGGGAAGAACAUAUGUGUAAGUAACUGUGCACAUCUUGACGGUACCUAAUCAGAAAGCCACGGCUAACUACGUG